AGUGAACGCUGGCGGUAGGCCUAACACAUGCAAGUCGAACGGCAGCACAGAGGAGCUUGCUCCUUGGGUGGCGAGUGGCGGACGGGUGAGGAAUACAUCGGAAUCUACUCUGUCGUGGGGGAUAACGUAGGGAAACUUACGCUAAUACCGCAUACGACCUACGGGUGAAAGCAGGGGACCUUCGGGCCUUGCGCGAUUGAAUGAGCCGAUGUCGGAUUAGCUAGGUGGCGGGGUAAAGGCCCACCAAGGCGACGAUCCGUAGCUGGUCUGAGAGGAUGAUCAGCAACACUGGAACUGAGACACGGUCCAGACUCCUACGGGAGGCAGCAGUGGGGAAUAUUGGACAAUGGGCGCAAGCCUGAUCCAGCCAUACCGCGUGGGUGAAGAAGGCCUUCGGGUUGUAAAGCCCUUUUGUUGGGAAAGAAAUCCAGCUGGCUAAUACCCGGUUGGGAUGACAGUACCCAAAGAAUAAGCACCGGCUAACUUCGUGCCAGCAGCCGCCGUAA
rnacentral:rRNA from 1 species